rnacentral:rRNA from 1 species
UACAGAGGGGGCAAGCGUUAUUCGGAAUUAUUGGGCGUAAAGGGCGCGUAGGCGGUGAUUCAAGUUGGAUGUGUAAUCCCCGAGCUCAACUUGGGAACUGCAUCCAAGACUGGAUUGCUAGAGUGCUGGAGAGGGUGGUGGAAUUCCUCGUGUAGCGGUGAAAUGCGUAGAUAUGCGGAGGAACACCGAUGGCGAAGGCAAUCCCCUGGGCCUGCACUGACGCUCAUGCACGAAAGCGUGGGGAGCAAACAGGAUUAGAAACCCCGGUAGU